AUGCCAACUAAUGUAGAAUGUAGAUAUAUUUAGACAUACCUGCAUAUUGAUAUCUUAUUAGAUCAAGUAGAGUGGUGUGAAACAAAAAUCAUCCUUAUUAUGGAAGGAUGGUAAAUAGUAUUGACCAAUGUAAUGGUUGUCUAAUACCCUGUAACGUGUGAACAAAGAUUAGAUAAAUGGUGACCCGUCUGCCGAGCAAUGG
rnacentral:lncRNA from 1 species